GUGCUCACUUUGGCAGCACAUCUAUUAAAACUGGAAUAAUACAGAGAUUAGCAUGGCCCUUGCUCAAGGAUGACAUGCAAAUUUGUGAAGUGUUCCAUAUUUUU